AGCGGCCAUCUUAGAUGAAGAUCGGGAAACGCGUCGCUUGGAGAGCCUGUGCUAAGACAGGCUUUGAAACAGGCCAGUGAGAUG